rnacentral:rRNA from 1 species
UACGGAGGGGGGCUAGCGUUGUUCGGAAUUACUGGGCGUAAAGCGCACGUAGGCGGCUUUGUAAGUUAGAGGUGAAAGCCCAGGGCUUAACCCUGGAAUUGCCUUUAAGACUGCAUCGCUAGAAUCGUGGAGAGGUGAGUGGAAUUCCGAGUGUAGAGGUGAAAUUCGUAGAUAUUCGGAAGAACACCAGUGGCGAAGGCGACUCACUGGACACGUAUUGACGCUGAGGCGCGAAAGCGUGGGGAGCAAACAGG